GAUGAAGAACGCAGCGAAAUGCGAUAAGUAAUGUGAAUUGCAGAAUUCAGUGAAUCAUCGAAUCUUUGAACGCACCUUGCGCUCCUUGGUAUUCCGAGGAGCAUGCCUGUUUGAGUGUCAUUAAAUUCUCAACCUUUAUCUUUUAUUGAUAAAUGGCUUGGACUUGGGGGUUUGCUGGCGAAAGUCAGCUCCUCUGAAAUGUAUUAGCUGGUUGCCUUGUGUGAACUUGUCUAUUGGUGUGAUAAUUAUCUACGCCAUGGGCUGUUUGCCGUUUUAGCACUGCUUCUAACUGUCUGUUAACUCGGACAAUAUAUGACAAUUUGACCUCAAAUCAGGUAGGACUACCCGCUGAACUUAAGCAUAUCAAUAAGCGGAGGA
rnacentral:misc_RNA from 1 species